rnacentral:rRNA from 1 species
UAUGUCUUGUGUGCCAGCAGCCGCGGUCAUACGUAUGGGGCAAGCGUUAUCCGGAUUUCCUGGGUGUAAAGGGAGCGUAGGCGGCAUGGCAAGUCAGAAGUGAAAGCCUGGGGCUCAACCCCGGAAUUGCUUUUGAAACUGUCAGGCUAGAGUGUCGGAGGGGUAAGCGGAAUUCCUAGUGUAGCGGUGAAAUGCGUAGAUAUUAGGAGGAACACCGGUGGCGAAGGCGGCUUACUGGACGAUUACUGACGCUGAGGCUCGAAAGCGUGGGGAGCAAACAGG